rnacentral:rRNA from 1 species
CGGGGAUCACCCCUUCCCAUUCCGAACAGGGCAGUUAAGCCCGCCAGCGCCGAUGGUACUGCGUCACAGCGGGAGAGUAGGUCGCCGCCCCCC